rnacentral:rRNA from 1 species
GACGAACGCUGGCGGCGUGCCUAAUACAUGCAAGUCGAACGCAGUGGGGACGGGUGAGUAACACGUGGGUGACCUCCCAUCAGAGGGGAUAACACUUGGAUACAGGUGCUAAACCGAUACUGAUGGAUGGACCCGCGGUGCAUUAGCUAGUUGGUGAGGUAACGGCUCACCAAGGCCACGAUGCAUAGCCGGCCUGAGAGGAUGAUCGGCCACACUGGGACUGAGACACGGCCCAGACUCCUACGGGAGGCAGCAGUAGGGAAUCUUCGGCAAUGGACGAAAGUCUGAUCGAGCAACGCCGCGUGAGUGAAGAAGGUUUUCGGAUUGUAAAGUUCUGUCGUUAGAGAAGCGGUAUCCAACGAGAAAGCCACGGCUAACUACGUGCCAGCAGCCGCGGUAAUAC